GAUAAAAAAAAGAAUCUAGCAAAAUGUGCAAACAAAUGUGGAAACAUACAUACGCAUUCGUACUUGCCAUGGCUAUGGGUACUCCAAGUGGUAUGGUAUAUAUUUUUGUAUAAAUCGUAUUUAAGCAAAGUAAUCUUUAAGCAAAUAAUUGUUGUCCCGGUGUAUGCGGUUUCUGUUUGACUGACUCGCUGCCAUGGCAUGGCAUGCCCACUUCCCCAUUCCCAUUCCCAUUCCC
rnacentral:lncRNA from 1 species